rnacentral:rRNA from 1 species
GGCGGACGGGUGAGUAACACGUGGAUAACCUACCUAUAAGACUGGAAUAACUCCGGGAAACCGGGGCUAAUGCCGGAUAACAUGUUGAACCGCAUGGUUCUACAGUGAAAGACGGUCUUGCUGUCACUUAUAGAUGGACCCGCGCCGUAUUAGCUAGUUGGUGGGGUAACGGCCUACCAAGGCGACGAUACGUAGCCGACCUGAGAGGGUGAUCGGCCACACUGGAACUGAGACACGGUCCAGACUCCUACGGGAGGCAGCAGUAGGGAAUCUUCCGCAAUGGGCGAAAGCCUGACGGAGCAACGCCGCGUGAGUGAUGAAGGUCUUCGGAUCGUAAAGCUCUGUUGUUAGGGAAGAACAAAUGUGUAAGUAACUGUGCACAUCUUGACGGUACCUAACCAGAAAGCCACGGCUAACUACGUGCCAGCAGCCGCGGUAAUACGUAGGUGGCAAGCGUUAUCCGGAAUUAUUGGGCGUAAAGCGCGCGUAGGCGGUUUUUUAAGUCUGAUGUGAAAGCCCACGGCUCAACCGUGGAGGGUCAUUGGAAACUGGAAAACUUGAGUGCAGAAGAGGAAAGUGGAAUUCCAUGUGUAGCGGUGAAAUGCGCAGAGAUAUGGAGGAACACCAGUGGCGAAGGCGGCUUUCUGGUCUGCAACUGACGCUGAUGUGCGAAAGCGUGGGGAUCAAACAGGAUUAGAUACCCUGGUAGUCCACGCCGUAAACGAUGAGUGCUAAGUGUUAGGGGGGUUUCCGCCCCUUAGUGCUGCAGCUAACGCAUUAAGCACUCCGCCUGGGGAGUACGGUCGCAAGACUGAAACUCAAAGGAAUUGACGGGACCCGCACAAGCGGUGGAGCAUGUGGUUUAAUUCGAAGCACGCGAAGAACCUUACCAAAUCUUGA